UGGAAUCAGUUGCUUGAAAUAUUAUUUACGAUAUGUAAUUGAAUUUGAUAGAUUUGAGCCAUUUGGAGUCGAAUACUCGUGCAAAGGCGUGGUUUCUAGUUGAUUAUUGAGUCAUGCCUCAUCCGUGAGGUGACGAGCUCGUACUUGAGCUAAUUGUUAUAAACCCAUUUCUACUUGAAAUAUUUAAAAUGAGAUUCAUGUUUACUUGUUCAUUUUAUACUGUAAGUUUAACCUGUGCUAGCUUAGAGAAGCAUGUUUAGCUGACUUACCUGCUUAGUUGCUUAACUGUAUUAUUUGUACUAUGUAAAGCAUGUUAGACUAGAAUUUACUAUUACUUGUUCUAAUUUUAAUACGUAUUCUGAGAUUUAUGAUUUGUUGCUGUGUGUUUAAUUUGGUACUACGGGACGGCUUCCCGGGAGAUCCCCAUGUACUUGAUAUGUUCCGGAUUGAGGGUUCGGAAUACCAAGAGAUCCCUGGCACAUGUAUUUCUAUAUAUUGGGAUACCAAGAGAACCCUGGCUUACCUAUUUAGGAUACCAAGAGAUCCUCGGGAUACCAAGAGAUCUAUGUUGCACAUGAUGAGGAUACCAAGAGAUCCUCGGGAUACCAAGAGAUCCCCGGCUAUUAUAACUUAUGGUGAGCAAUAUUCCAUGUAUAGUUAUCUCUGCUUUCUAUUACUGUUUUCUCUAUUUAUCUGGUUUAGAUUCUCGCUGUGGACUUUACUUAAAUUGUUUCCGUUAUGUUAUUAUUUUGUUAUAUUUAUCUCAGUAGGGCCCUGACCUUCCUCGUCACUACCCGAUCGAGGUUAGGCUUGGUACUUACUGAGUACCGCUGUGGUAUAUUCACGCCUCUUCUGCGCAUGUUUUUCAUGUGCAGAUCUAGAUACUUCCUCCCAGGCGUAUCAUCCUCGUGGUGGAGAGGUCUAGUUGAGACUUUGAGGUACAUUUGUAACGUCCGAAGAACAUGAGUCUCUAUUCUAUUCUGGAUUUGGCAGAUAGUUCCUAUCUUUCCUUUCAUGUUGUUAGACAUUGUG
rnacentral:lncRNA from 1 species